rnacentral:misc_RNA from 1 species
GGAAUAUUGCACAAUGGGCGCAAGCCUGAUGCAGCCAUGCCGCGUGUAUGAAGAAGGCCUUAGGGUUGUAAAGUACUUUCAGUGGGGAGGAAGGCGAUAAGGUUAAUAACCUUGUCGAUUGACGUUACCCGCAGAAGAAGCACCGGCUAACUCCGUGCCAGCAGCCGCGGUAAUACGGAGGGUGCAAGCGUUAAUCGGAAUUACUGGGCGUAAAGCGCACGCAGGCGGUCUGUCAAGUCGGAUGUGAAAUCCCCGGGCUCAACCUGGGAACUGCAUUCGAAACUGGCAGGCUAGAGUCUUGUAGAGGGGGGUAGAAUUCCAGGUGUAGCGGUGAAAUGCGUAGAGAUCUGGAGGAAUACCGGUGGCGAAGGCGGCCCCCUGGACAAAGACUGACGCUCAGGUGCGAAAGCGUGGGGAGCAAACAGGA